rnacentral:lncRNA from 1 species
AGAAGGUUUACUUGUGCUACUAGAUGACUUAGAUGGUCAGAUGUACUUCUUUGCUUCUUCAGACAUACUACUGUUCCAUUGCUUCCUCACCUUAUUAGGACUAAAAGAAAACUUUUCUUACUGAGAUGUUCUCUCUAUUGAAAUAAAGUCCUUGGUUCACCACCAGAAGCGGUGAACUUCAUGGAACCACUAGGGGGCCAUGAUCAACAAUAGCUCUGAAGAUGUCAUCAGUUGUUGGUCUUAGUGGUGGAGGAGAAUUAUUAGGAGAAAUGGG